rnacentral:rRNA from 1 species
GACGAACGCUGGCGGCGUGCUUAACACAUGCAAGUCGAACGGAAAGGCCCUGCUUUUGUGGGGUGCUCGAGUGGCGAACGGGUGAGUAACACGUGAGUAACCUGCCCUUGACUUUGGGAUAACUUCAGGAAACUGGGGCUAAUACCGUAUAGGAGCUCCUGCUGCAUGGUGGGGGUUGGAAAGUUUCGGCGGGUGGGGAUGGACUCGCGGCUUAUCAGCUUGUUGGUGGGGUAGUGGCUUACCAAGGCUUUGACGGGUAGCCGGCCUGAGAGGGUGACCGGCCACAGUGGGACUGAGGUACGGCCCAGACUGCUACGGGAGGCAGCAGUGGGGAAUAGUGCAAAAUGGGCGGAAGCCUGAUGCAGCAACGCCGCGUGCGGGAUGACGGCCUUCGGGUUGUAAACCGAUUUCGCCUGUGACGAAGCGUGAGUGACGGUAAUGGGUAAAGAAGCACCGGCUAACUACGU